rnacentral:rRNA from 1 species
GAGUUUGAUCUUGGCUCAGAUUGAACGCUGGCGGCAUGCCUUACACAUGCAAGUCGAACGCGAAAGCGGGGCAACCCGCAAGUAGAGUGGCGAACGGGUGAGUAAUACAUCGGAACAUUUCCAGUAGCGGGGGAUAACCUGUCGAAAGAUAGGCUAAUACCGCAUACGACCUACGGGUGAAAGCGGAGGACCGCAAGGCUUCGCACUAUUGGAGUGGCCGAUGUCGGAUUAGCUAGUUGGCGGGGUAAAAGCCCACCAAGGCGACGAUCCGUAGCUGGUCUGAGAGGACGAUCAGCCACACUGGAACUGAGACACGGUCCAGACUCCUACGGGAGGCAGCAGUGGGGAAUAUUGGACAAUGGGGGAAACCCUGAUCCAGCCAUGCCGCGUGAGUGAAGAAGGCCUUC